GACGAACGCUGGCGGCGUGCUUAACACAUGCAAGUCGAACGGUGAAGCGCCUUCCUUUUUGGUGGGUGUGGAUGAGUGGUGAACGGGUGAGUAACACGUGAGUAACCUGCCCCCUUCUUCUGGAUAACCGCAUGAAAGUGUGGCUAAUACGGGAUAUUCUGGGUCUGUCGCAUGAUGGGUCUGGGAAAGAUAUUGUUUCGGUGGGGGAUGGGCUCGCGGCCUAUCAGCUUGUUGGUGGGGUGAUGGCCUACCAAGGCGGUGACGGGUAGCCGGCCUGGGAGGGUGGACGGUCACACUGGGACUGAGACACGGCCCAGACGCGUACGGGAGGCAGCAGUGAGGAAUAUUGCACGAUGGGCGCAAGCCUGAUGCAGCGACGCCGCGUGAGGGAUGGAGGCCUUCGGGUUGUGAACCUCUUUCGCCAGUGAAGCAGGCCUGCCUCGUUUGUGGGUGGGUUGACGGUAGCUGGAUAAGAAGCGCCGGCUAACUACGUG
rnacentral:rRNA from 1 species